rnacentral:tRNA from 1 species
GCAUCGGUGGUUUAGUGGUAGAAUUCUUGCCCUCCAUGUGGGAGACCUGGGUUUGAUUCCCAGCCAAGGCC